AGGAUACCAGCUGGGUACGAUCCAUGCCCAGUUUUCCAUGCAGACUGCUGACUUUCUUAUAUAUCCUCGCACUGUGAAAAGAAGGUUAAAUACCUGGGAGUGAGAUUGCUGUGUCAUAUGACGACUGUAGUUCAUUCAGGAGACAACAACGCCGCAGGUGAUCUGGAGGCUCCUGGAGGACCUCAGCGACUCAGGUCCAGUCCAAGGAGGGCCGCAGAUCAGGCUGAAGAAGGAUGGAUCCACAUGCUUAGAGGAGAUCGAGAAAUGCAGGUUCGU
rnacentral:lncRNA from 10 species